GGGGAUUUAGCUCAGCGGCAUAAGCGCCUGCCUUGCAAGCAGGUAGUCGUGAGUUCAACCCCUG
rnacentral:tRNA from 1 species